rnacentral:rRNA from 1 species
CAGCUCACAAAGCCAAGAUUGACGCUGAGGCACGAAAGUGUGGGGAUCAAACAGGAUUAGAUACCCCUGGUAGUCCACACUGUAAACGAUGAUAACUCGCUGUCGGCGAUAGACCGUCGGUGGCCAAGCGAAAGCGAUAAGUUAUCCACCUGGGGAGUACGACCGCAAGGUUGAAACUCAAAGGAAUUGACGGGGGCCCGCACAAGCGGAGGAACAUGUGGUUUAAUUCGAUGAUACGCGAGGAACCUUACCCGGGCUCGAACGGUGCAUGAAUGUUCAAGAGAUUGGACAGUCCUUCGGGACAUGUAUCGAGGUGCUGCAUGGUUGUCGUCAGCUCGUGCCGUGAGGUGUCGGCUUAAGUGCCAUAACGAGCGCAACCCUUGUCAUUAGUUACCAUCAGGUCAAGCUGGGGACUCUAGUGAGACUGCCACCGUAAGGUGUGAGGAAGGGGGGGAUGACGUCAAAUCAGCACGGCCCUUAUGUCCGGGGCGACACACGUGUUACAAUGGGAGGUACAGAGAGCAGCCAGUUAGUGAUAACGCGCCAAUCUCAAAAACCUUUCUCAGUUCGGAUUGGAGUCUGCAACUCGACUCCAUGAAGUUGGAUUCGCUAGUAAUCGAGCAUCAGCCA